ACAAGAACAAUCAAAAAAACAUUCUUCAGCGUUCCUAGAUAAAAUACUUAUACAUUGCUUCAAUUCAAUAUGUGCUGCCAGUGAAAUCGCCAGUCUGUCUGCCCGUGAAAAGCGUAUUUAUGUGCGUUAUCAACCAGAAUUCGUCUUUUUUGUGGAUAUGUGGUCAUUGUCUUGACAUGAAGCCCUUUAAUGUUGAAUAGCCCUGAGGAAGACUAAAUAUAUAGUCGAAACGUAGGCUUUUUCAAGAAAA